UUAAUUGCAUUGAUAGGAGAGAGGGUGAAAACGGAUUCGAUAAAUCCGUAAUUAGCAGAAAGCAUAUGAUGGAGUUCUUUUUUAAAAAAUAAAAAUCACUCAAUGGCUUCGGUUAUUUAACAACCGGAGCAUUUAGUGAGUUUAUUAUAUUAAAAAAAUUACCAAAUGCUUCGGUCGCAUUCCUUAUAUUAUAAUUUUGCCUCGCUCCCCCAUUUUUUCCCGCCUCUCUAUUUGUUCUGUUUCUCUCUCUUCCCCUCUUCACUGUCGAUCUUCUCCAUCUCCUUCUCCUUCUCCUUAUCAUCACCAUUGUUUUCAUGCUAAAACCCCUAAAUUUGUUCACAAAUUCGAACCCUCAUUUUUAGGGUUUCCAGUUCAAUUUUCACUCGCAUUUCCCCCCAUUCUACACUAAAAACAAGUUUUUGCCAUAAUUCGUUCGGUGAUUGGUAUGAUUGUUGAUGAAAGUUUAAAGUUAUGAUUUGAAGUCUUUACUUGUGAAAGUUUAAAGUUUGAUGAUGAAUUGGAAUUGAAGCUAGCCCAACUUUUUGGGGUUCGAGAUUCGGGUCUAGAUAUGAUAAAAGUUAUGGCUCAUGAAACUUUUAUGUAUGUGUUAGUAAUGAUUUCAUAUGAAGUAAUGGUUCAAAAAAAAUGCUUCAUGUGGUUUAUGCUUUUGUCCCUUCAAAUUAGGAGAUUGAUUUUGCCAAAUAAUUCAAUGAACUUUGAAGAUUUGCAGAUUUUAACAUCAUUUUCUUGUCAAAUUAUUACAUUUUUAUAUUGUUAGACCUGGGCAUAUGAGCCAACACAAUAUAUUUGGUGGAAAGAUGUUUAUGUUGCUCAAACAAUCUUCUUGUUGUUGGAAGUUUGCUCAUUUGAUCCGUAUAAUCUUGAGCAUAAUAUGCAAUAUACAAGUUGCUCUAUUGCUGUGA